rnacentral:rRNA from 1 species
AACGAACGCUGGCGGCAGGCCUAACACAUGCAAGUCGAACGUGAAGCCAGAGCUUGCUCUGGUGGAAAGUGGCAGACGGGUGAGUAACGCGUGGGAAAUUACCCAGUAGUACGGAACAACAGUUGGAAACGACUGCUAAUACCGUAUACGCCCUCCGGGGGAAAGAUUUAUCGCUAUUGGAGAUGCCCGCGUCGGAUUAGCUUGUUGGUGAGGUAACGGCUCACCAAGGCGACGAUCCGUAGCUGGUCUGAGAGGAUGAUCAGCCACACUGGGACUGAGACACGGCCCAGACCCCUACGGGAGGCAGCAGUGGGGAAUAUUGCACAAUGGGCGCAAGCCUGAUGCAGCCAUGCCGCGUGAGUGAUGAAGGCCUUAGGGUUGUUAAACUACUUUCACCGGUGAAGAUAAUGACGGUAACCGGAGAAGAAGCCCCGGCUAACUUCGUG